rnacentral:ncRNA from 1 species
UGUGAUGGGCUACCAACCUUAACUGUUUGAGUUUAAAUCGGAAGUGCCUCUGGUACGAGGCUGAUGGAGGCUUUAAUCUGGUACCACGGGUAACCAGGAGCCCACGGAACUUGUUCCGUCCUGGUUAGUUGGUGCGGCCCUUCGGGGAGUAUCGUGGUGGUUGUGGUUUAACACCCAAAUGCGGGUAGAGCAUCGCUCGACGUGGAGUUGCGUCAUACAACCGGGUUCCGUGACCCAGAUUACGGAAGAGGCUUAGAUAGUCCUCGUGCCAAACCAAGGUAGAAGUCACAACCAAACAGUCGUGUCUUUAAUUGGUACCUGCGGAAUUGUUCCAAGGGGGCGGUGAUUGACGCUUGAAUUAAUCCUAUACUAGGAACCGUGAGAUUAAGCCAUCGCGGCAGGUGCUCACGUUAAGCCCACUGACUUUCAUGUCCCUAUCUACUAUCUAGCGAAACCACAGCCAAGGGAACGGGCUUGGAAUAAUUAGCGGGGAAAGAAGACCCUUUUGAGCUUGACUCUAAUCUGGCAGUGUAAGGAGACAUAAGAGGUGUAGAAUAAGUGGGAGAUAUUAGACUUCGGUUUGGUAUCGACAAUGAAAUACCACUACUCUUAUUGUUUCCUUACUUACUUGAUUAAAUGGAACGUGUAUCAUUUCCUAGCCAUUAUACGGAUAUAAUUAUUAUGUCUUAUGGUAUUGGGUUUUGAUGCAAGCUUCUUGAUCAAAGUAUCACGAGUUUGUUAUAUAAUCGCAAACAAAUUCUUAAUGAGAGAAUGCAUUUAUGUAUUAUUGAUUUAAAAAUUUGGUAUAACUCCAAUUACUCAGGUAUGAUCCAAUUCAAGGACAUUGCCAGGUAGGGAGUUUGACUGGGGCGGUACAUCUCUCAAAUAAUAACGGAGGUGUCCCAAGGCCAGCUCAGUGCGGACAGAAACCACACAUAGAGCAAAAGGGCAAAUGCUGACUUGAUCUCGGUGUUCAGUACACACAGGGACAGCAAAAGCUCGGCCUAUCGAUCCUUUUGGUUUAAAGA